GGAUGAACGCUGGCUGUGUGCCUAAUACAUGCAUGUCGAGCGAAGAACUUCGGUUCUUAGCGGCGAAUGGGUGAGUAACACGUGCUCAACGUACCCUUCAGAUUGGAAUAGCGGUUGGAAACAGCCGAUAAUACCAAAUACCCGUAAAUUUCGCAUGAAGUUUACGUAAAAGGUCCGUUUGGACCGCUGGAGGAGCGGGGUGCGUAACAUUAGCUUGUUGGUGAGGUAACGGCUCACCAAGGCGAUGAUGUUUAGCGGGGUUGAGAGACUGAACCGCCACACUGGGACUGAGAUACGGCCCAGACUCCUACGGGAGGCAGCAGUAGGGAAUAUUCCACAAUGGACGAAAGUCUGAUGGAGCGACACAGCGUGCAGGAUGACGGCCCCAUGGGUUGUAAACUGCUGUGGUAAGGGAAGAAAAAGUAGUGUAGGAAAUGACAUUACCUUGACGGUACCUUAUUAGAAAGCAACGGCUAACUAUGUGCCAGCAGCCGCGGUAAUACAUAGGUUGCAAGCGUUAUCCGGAAUUAUUGGGCGUAAAGCGUCUGUAGGUUGUUUGUUAAGUUCGGCGUUAAAUUUUGGGGCUCAACCCCAAACCGCGUUGAAUACUGGCAAACUAGAGUUAUGUAGAGGUAAGCGGAAUUCCUUGUGAAGCGGUGAAAUGCGUAGAUAUAAGGAAGAACACCAAAAUGGCGAAGGCAGCUUACUGGGCAUAUACUGACACUGAGAGACGAAAGCGUGGGGAGCAAACAGGAUUAGAUACCCUGGUAGUCCACGCCCUAAACGAUGAUCAUUAGCUGAUGGAGAGUUCGUCGGCGCAGCUAACGCAUUAAAUGAUCCGCCUGAGUAGUACGUUCGCAAGAAUAAAACUUAAAGGAAUUGACGGGGACCCGCACAAGCGGUGGAGCAUGUGGUUUAAUUUGAGAAUACGCGUAGAACCUUACCCACUCUUGACAUCUUCUGCAAAGCUAUAGAGAUAUAGUGGAGGUUAACAGAAUGACAGAUGGUGCAUGGUUGUCGUCAGCUCGUGUCGUGAGAUGUUCGGUUAAGUCCUGCAACGAGCGCAACCCUUAUCCUUAGUUACUAACAUUUAGUUGAGCACUCUAAGGAGACUGCCCGAGUAAUUGGGAGGAAGGUGGGGACGACGUCAAAUCAUCAUGCCUCUUACGAGUGGGGCAACACACGUGCUACAAUGGUCGGUACAAAGAGAAGCAAACUGGUGACAGGGAGCAAACCUCAAAAAACCGAUCUCAGUUCGGAUUGGAGUCUGCAACUCGACUCCAUGAAGUCGGAAUCGCUAGUAAUCGUAGAUCAGCUACGCUACGGUGAAUACGUUCUCGGGUCUUGUACACACCGCCCGUCAAACCAUGGGAGCUGGUAAUGCCCGAAGUCGGUUUAUAAACAAACUGCCUAAGGCAGGACUGGUGACUGGGGUUAAGUCGUAACAAGGUAUCCCUACGAGAACGUGGGGAUGGAUCACCUCCUUUCUACGGAGUACAAAGAAAUAUAAACACCUUGUUUAUAUUAACAACUUUACUAGGCCUUAUUUAUUUUUUGUGUUAUGUGCUUUUUUUAGGUCUAAAAAGCUUUAUAUCUAGUUUUGAGAGAACAUUCUCUCAAUUGUUCUUUGAAAACUGAAUAGUAAAUUAAAGAUAUUUACAACGACAUCAAACUAAAUUAAUUAAAUGGUUAAUUUGUUUUGAUUCAUCGAGUAAUCAAUAUUAUUUAUAUAGAAAUAUAUAAACACUAUGAUUCAUUGAAAUGUCUUAUAAUACACAUCAACAACUAUAUAAAUAUAAACAAUAGGAAAAUACUUUUAAAUAAGUAAGAGUUUGUGGUGGAUGCCUUGGGUCUGGAAGUCGAAGAAGGACGUGAUUACCUGCGAUAAGCCUCGUUAAGCUGGAAAUGAGCAAUAAAACGGGGAUUUCCGAAUGGGGAAACCUAACUAGAGUAAUGUCUAGUUGCCAUAGUACUGAAUACAUAGGUAUAUGAGCGAGACACCUUGUGAACUGAAACAUCUUAGUAGCAAGAGGAAGAGAAAAUAAAUAAUGAUUUCUUUAGUAGCGGCGAGCGAACGAGAAAGAGCCCAAACCACUUUUAGUGGGGUUGUAGGACGGUCUACAUAAAGUUACAAAGUUUAAUGAUAGCAGAAGCUCUCUGGAAAGGAGCGGCGCAGAGGGUGAAACCCCCGUAAGCGAAAUUGUUAAACCUUUUGACCGUAUCCUGAGUAGGGCGGGGCACGUGAAACCCUGUCUGAAUCUGCCGGGACCACCCGGUAAGGCUAAAUACUAACCAGACACCGAUAGCGAACUAGUA
rnacentral:rRNA from 1 species